GUACAAUAUGAGGUAUAAGAUACCUUUAACCGAAACCAACAAGAAGGCAACAGAGUAUCGAAUAGAAGGCAACCAAGAUCCAAUCGGAUCUACCAAUCUCAGCCUCGGCAAUAGAUCAAGGUAAGAUAAUACCUGAGGUGAAGAUACCUUUCUCAAUUCUCGGCAAAAAAUCAAGAUGAAUACCUCCUUACCAACCGAAGAAGCGUUCGGUCAUCAGCAUAGGGCAUUCGUGAAAUCGAGAAGGAAGAAGACAGGUAGAAC
rnacentral:lncRNA from 1 species